rnacentral:rRNA from 1 species
UUUUUGUAAAUAAUUUAAAGUCUAAUCUGCCCACUGAUUUAUUAAAGGGCUGCAGUAUAUUGACUGUACAAAGGUAGCAUAAUCAUUAGUCUCUUAAUUAGUGACUUGUAUGAAGGAUUUGAUGAAAUAUAAACUGUCUCUUUUUAAUUUAUAAAAUUUAAUUUUUUAGUAAAAAAGCUAAAAUUUUAUUAAAAGACGAGAAGACCCUAUAGAGUUUUAUAUUUUAAUAAAUUAAAAUUUUUUAUAAAAUUUAAAAUUUUAAUUUAUUAAUAUAUUUUAUUGGGGUGAUAGAAAAAUUAAUAUAACUUUUUAUAAAUUUUAACAUUUAUUUAUGAUUAUAUGAUCCGUAAAUUACGAUUAUAAGAAAAAAUUACCUUAGGGAUAACAGCGUAAUUUUUUUUUUUAGUUCAAAUAAGAAAAAAAGUUUGCGACCUCGAUGUUGGAUUAAGAUAAAAUUUAAAUGCAAAAGUUUAAAAUUUU